GACCCGGUAGCUCAGCUGGCAGAGCAGGCGACUUUUAAUCGUCAGGUCGUGGGUUCGAUCCCCACCCGGGUCA
rnacentral:tRNA from 1 species